AGGGAUGUUAAGGCACUGAGGGCCAGAGCACUUGUUCUCAUCAGCAUCAUCAUCAGCCUCAGCAUCAUUGUCACCGUAAUCAGCAUCAUUGGCAUCAGCAUCAUCAGCAUCACCACCCUCAUCAUCAUCAGUAGCAUCAAUAUCACUAUCAUCAGCAUUAGCAUCAGCAUCAUCAGCAGCAUCAGCACCAUCAGCAUCAUCGUCAUCAGGAUCAUCAGCAUCAUCAGCAGCAUCACCACCAUUAUCAGCAUCAGGAUCACCAUCUAACAUUUUUUGAGGGCUUCAAAUGCACAAGGCACUGGGCUGAUUUCUUUACAUGCAUUGUCUCACUUGUUUCCAACAAUGACAGCCCCCAAAGAACCUCACCAGCACCACAGGACCCACCACCACCAUCACAAGCCUUAUCAUCACCCCUGCCUUCUCUAUCCCUGCAGCAGUCCGGGGAUAGACACAGGGAGAGGACAGCCAUCUUACCAGCCGAGGAAGGAAGCCUCAGAGAAA
rnacentral:lncRNA from 10 species